UACAGAGGUCUCGAGCGUUGUUCGGAUUCAUUGGGCGUAAAGGGUGCGUAGGUGGCGUGGUAAGUCGGAUGUGAAAUCCCGGGGCUCAACCCCGGAACUGCAUUCGAUACUGCCAUGCUAGAGUACUGGAGAGGAGAUUGGAAUUUACGGUGUAGCAGUGAAAUGCGUAGAUAUCGUAAGGAAGACCAGUGGCGAAGGCGGAUCUCUGGACAGUUACUGACACUGAGGAACGAAAGCCAGGGGAGCAAACGGG
rnacentral:rRNA from 1 species